AAUUGUAUCCUAACAUGCGUGUGUAAUUCAGCGUUAAUUAUCAUUAAUGGCCGAAACUCGAGUUCGAUCACAUGGUCGGAUACGUAUGCAUUUAAUGUGUUCAAGGAAACCGUUUGAUUAUCAAUUUGGCAAACCUGACAUAAGCGUUAUAAUAAUACUGUUUGUAAAUAUUGACAUGUCCAACCAUCUGGCAGCCAUAAAGCUAUCUCGUAAAAAAAAAAAUUAUACUAGUUGGCACGUCGCGGCGGAGAGCGGCUGCAAGCCACGUUAUUUCAUAUCAGACAGAUUGCCUUCAAAAUAAGAUUAAUGAAACUUUGAUCCCGUGACCUCGGGAUAAAUUAUUUAAUUGGUAGAAUCGGCCACAUCGUAUUUCUUUUGUUUCAAUAGUCGAGUUAGCAGUAACUAUGGGUAGCGUGGUGAAGUUGUUGGCGUUGUUUGUGCUGUUACACGUUGGAUUACUGCUCGCACUGCCUUUCGAACAGGUCAACUCCACGCGAACGGAGAACGUUGUCGUUACGAACAACACAUGCAUCUACGGAUUCGAGCUGGUCAAUGGCAAAUGCACGGAAAUUUUCUAGGAUGGUGUCAAACCAGAGAGCUCAAUUAUGUACCAUCGAAUGGAGGAAAGCACGAUGAAACAAGACUGAAAACGCAAAGCUUUCCGUAAUCUCAAAAAUCAUCAAACAUUUUAUACAAUUUCGGAGGAGCCAAAAAUUACGGGGGCCACAUACAAACAUUUUGUGGAGUGUGAAAGUUGCUUUUUAAUGUAUGUAUGAUGCGGGAACGAAGAAAAAGGGGACUUUGAAGAAUUUAUAAUUGUCUGGUGACUGUACUUACCUAAAAUAUGUAGCCUUUUCCUUGGAGAUUUUAAAAUCACAGUUUAAAUAAUUUUGAUUUAAAAUUCAUUAUGUAUUAACUAUUGAUUAUUAUAUUUUAUCAAACACAUAUAUAUUUUAAACGUAUUUUAGAAACAUACAAUCUAAUUUAUGCCACUUAAUAAAUUCUAUUUUAAUCAUAAAACUAGAAAAUAUGUUCCAGACAUGUUUAUUUUUGUUUAGUCUAUUUUGAAUUAUACAUUGUGAUAUAAAUCUCGAAUAAAAUUAAAUUGCGCUGAAAGAUAUACAGAUACGAUCUGUCUGGAAAUUGUUUGAAAAACGAGGAAAUAAAUAUGUUUAAAAUAGUUUAGAUCAAAGAUUCACAGGAACUAAAAUAUAAAUAAACACACACUAAAAUAUAUAGCAGUUUUACACUUGACAUUUGUACGAUUUGGAAAAUUUACAAUUAUUUUAUUUUUGUGCAGUAUUCAGGUUCAACCAAUUUUCGUUAACGAAUAAAUCGUGUUAUAUUACGCAUUAGUUUAUUUUAUUAUGUUAGUUGUAGCUGUUGUAAAUAUGUAUUCUAUAUUAUUUAUUGAAUUAUUUAUUUUAGAUUUGUAAUUAACAUUUUUGUUUUAGUUGCAGUGUACUUUUUUAAUGUUAGUAUGUAUUGUUAGUUUUUUAUACAAAUUGUUUUUGUAAAUUAGUAUUAGUGUAGUAUUUUGAAAUUAAAAUUAUUUAAAAUGUU